UGAAGUUAAAGNCAUUGGCUCAACCAAUGUAUGCUUUGGAAACUGUUAGACUUGAGUGCAGAAGGGGAGAGUGGAAUUCCAUGUGUAGCGGUGAAAUGCGUAGAUAUAUGGAGGAACACCGGUGGCGAAAGCGGCUCUCUGGUCUGUCACUGACGCUGAGGCUNGAAAGCGUGGGUAGCGAACAGGAUUAGAUACCCUGGUAGUNCACGCCGUAAACGCUGAGUGCUAGGUGUUAGGUCCUUUCCGGGACUUAGUGCCGACGCUAACGCAUUAAGCACUCCGCCUGGGGAGUACGACCGCAAGGUUGAAACUCAAAGGAAUUGACGGGGGCCCGCACAAGCGGUGGAGCAUGUGGUUUAAUUCGAAGCAACGCGAAGAACCUUACCAGGUCUUGACAUCCCGAUGCCCGCUCUAGAGAUAGAGUUUUUCUUCGGAACAUCGGAGACAGGUGGUGCAUGGUUGUCGUCGGCUCGUGUCGUGAGAUGUUGGGUUAAGUCCCGCAACGAGCGCAACCCUUAUUGUCAGUUGCCAUCAUUAAGUUGGGCACUCUAGCGAGACUGCCGGUAAUAAACCGGAGGAAGGUGGGGAUGACGUCAAAUCAUCAUGCCCCUUAUGACCUGGGCUACACACGUGCUACAAUGGUUGGUACAACGAGUCGCAAGCCGGUGACGGCAAGCUAAUCUCUGAAAGCCAAUCUCAGUUCGGAUUGUAGGCUGCAACUCGCCUACAUGAAGUCGGAAUCGCUAGUAAUCGCGGAUCAGCACGCCGCGGUGAAUACGUUCCCGGGCCUUGUACACACCGCCCGUCACACCACGAGAGUUUGUAACACCCAAAGUCGGUGAGGUAACCAUUUAUGGGGCCAGCCG
rnacentral:rRNA from 1 species